GUGUCAGCAGCCGCGGUAAGACAGAGGAGGCAAGCGUUGUCCGGACUUACUGGGCGUAAAGCGUCCGCAGGUGGUCGUGCAAGUGCCGUGUGAAAGCCGGCGGCUUAACUGCCGGAGGCCAUAGCAGACUGCUCGACUCGAGACCGGGAGAGGUCGGUGGAAUUGCCGGUGUAGUGGUGAAAUGCGUAGAGAUCGGCAGGAACACCCAAGGGGAAGCCAGCUGACUGGCCCGGUACUGACACUCAGGGACGACAGCGUGGGGAGCGAACCGGAUUAGAAACCCCAGUAGUCC
rnacentral:rRNA from 1 species